rnacentral:rRNA from 1 species
AUUGAACGCUGGCGGCAGGCCUAACACAUGCAAGUCGAGCGGAUGACGGGAGCUUGCUCCUUGAUUCAGCGGCGGACGGGUGAGUAAUGCCUAGGAAUCUGCCUGGUAGUGGGGGACAACGUUUCGAAAGGAACGCUCAUACCGCAUACGUCCUACGGGAGAAAGCAGGGGACCUUCGGGCCUUGCGCUAUCAGAUGAGCCUAGGCCGGAUUAGCUAGUUGGUGGGGUAAUGGCUCACCAAGGAGACGAUCCGUAACUGGUCUGAGAGGAUGAUCAGUCACACUGGAACUGAGACACGGUCCAGACUCCUACGGGAGGCAGCAGUGGGGAAUAUUGGACAAUGGGCGAAAGCCUGAUCCAGCCAUGCCGCGUGUGUGAAGAAGGUCUUCGGAUUGUAAAGCACUUUAAGUUGGGAGGAAGGGCAGUAAGUUAAUACCUUGCUGUUUUGACGUUACCGACAGAAUAAGCACCGGCUAACUCUGUGCCAGCAGCCGCGGUAA